UGUGAUCGGUCCCUUCACAAGUUGUGCAAACGAUUUGUUAGUUCAUGAGCCUAAUUAGUGCUGGGAUCACAUAAACAGCUUCCUCUGAAGCCUGGUAAAUGGCUUGAUGAUUGGUCGCUAUUACUCGCCUGGAGGUUGAAAGGGGGAGACUCUUUAAAGUGCGUCAGAGGGGAGGCGAGCUCCGGCAGCUGGGAUCCUGGAGGGAUGGAUUCAGGGCCCGGAACGGAGUGUGUCUCUCUCCACUCACUCCAGAGCGCUGGUGUCCCAGCCGGGCUCCUCACCUCUCCAGCCACUCAGCCGCAGAUCCGUCCUUCCUCCAGCAACCCAGCCAGAUGCAGCUAAGAUUUCUUUCUACAGUGACUGGAUCUGAUCUUGCUACUGUCCUCCAGCAAAGUGAGGAACUUUUUCCAACAUGGGCUUAAGGGUAGAGAGACUCUUACGCAAAGGAAUAUAAGGACUGCCAUACCAGAUGGGGCCCAAUGGUGAUUACUGACAUAUCAUCCGUCUGUACAACCAAUUUUCCAGAGGGGAAUGACAGAACUGCAUCAAGAAUGAAAGAAGAAGUUGUAUAUACUGAAGGUUGUGUAAACCAGAAAUACCUACUCUGUUUGAGAUGUUGGAUAGAUACAUGUGGUAGACAGUAAGUGCAGAGAAGGUAAGACCUGCCAGUAUAGGUUACUGAGCUGCAUGGAUUUUUAGUAGAAGUCCUUGUGUAGAUGAAUAUGUGAGUAACCUCUCUAAAGUCACUCAUCUUUUGCUAACUGUAAUGGUCCUUUUCUUGCUGUCUGCUAUGUAUCUGCUGCCGUGGCAGAUUGGAUGUAAAGAUGUACUUUAUGAAUUGUAACUUUUCCAAACUUUAUUCAGCCAAGAAACAGAGAGAACCCCUAAGGUGAAGUGUUCAUUAACAUGCUAACAGAAGCUGUUCCAAAGAGGAUAUAUGCUCAGACAUGCAAUGGGAGGUGAGGGUGCUUUAAAAGGCUCCAAGGCGUUAAAAGUAAAAUGUCUGGUCUUCUUAACUAGUGUUUCACAAGGCGUGCAUACAUGGCUCUCGCUGUUUAGACAGGUUCAAAGACUUCAUUAUCAUAUGGGCAGAAGAGCUUUUGUAAAGUGUAGAUAUGCACCAAUGCAAGAUAGAAGAUGGAAAUGAAAAGAAUAGAGAUACUCAGCCUAUACAUAUUUGGCAUGACCUUGAAAUACAAUUAUCUUUGUGUAUUAAGGUCUGGACUACAGGAUGCGGUAAUACAUGAACAUUUAAGACUGGGAAGGCAGUAUGGCCUAGUGGAUAAGCGCACUAGACCAGGACUUAG